ensembl:lncRNA
CGAAAAUAAGAAUUACAUCAUUCUUGAAUCCAACAAUAAGAAAAGAAAGAUGAGGUUCAUAAUCUUGUUCAUAAUCUUUAUCUCAGUAGGAUCUAACGAUUCCGGGCAUGAAAGUGGUGCUGGAAUUUACGGAUCCAGCUUUAAGUUCUUGUGACGUUGCAUCUGAAUGGAGCAAAACAUUUGAAGGCUGAGGUAUGCUGGAAAUCGGUAUCUACAUUCCACAUGACAAGUGUUUUUUUUGCAAGCCUUAGAAACCAAUGUUGUUGUCACUCUUAGGCAACCACAUUGGUCGUGUGUGCACCCAACCUUCUUAGGUGUGGCUGAGCCUAUAUAUAUCAGCCACACCUGCACUGUCUUCACUUUCAGGUCAAUCAGAUUCAAUUAAAAGGGUCCAAAAUGCUCCUAUUUUGGGUUCUAGAAUUUGCUUUAGCGGUUUUCGCUUGUGAGCCCAUAGGAGAUACUGAUGCAGCCUGUAGAAACGACUGUUACCGAAAAGACUGUGAUGGAACAGUGUAUGACAUCCAAGAGGCUACUUGCUGUGAAAACAAACUUCACCCAGGUGCAAGUUUGUCUUGUUGUGGAAAUGAGCCUUACAAUCCUGAAACAGCCACUUGUUGUAAACACAAUCUCACAGCCAGUGUUACUCAGGGUCUGAGUGAAAAGGUGUCCAAGUGCUGUGACCUGAAGGCCUACAACCCAGUCAAUGAAAUGUGUUGUCAAUCAACCAUCAUAUCAAAACCUGGACCAAUGGCUGAAUGCUGUGUUAAAGAUGUUUUUGAUGAGGACAAGCAGUUGUGUUGUGGUCCAGCUGAUAAUAAGACAAUUCUGGUGAGGAAUUCCCGUCACCAUGAGUGCUGUGGUCACAGCCAGUACGACACUGAGACUCAGUGCUGCUGUUCAAAUGAGGAGAAGAUGGAGAUACAAUCGAAGGAUUCAUCCUGCUGUGUCAAGAAUUUCACUCCAGGCCUUUCAAGUGGAAAUACCACCUUCAACAAACCUUCACCAAAGCAUGGAUAUUGUGGUGAAGAGAUUUACGAUAUGGAAAAUAAGUUGUGUUGUGGUCCAAAUAAUGAUAAAAAGAUCCUGACAAAGAAGUCCAGAGAUCAUGUGUGCUGUCAUCAUGGCCAGUUCAACGUCAAAACUGAGUGCUGCUGUUAUAACAAUCAUAUUGCUGAAGUACAGUUGACGAAUUCAUCUUGCUGUAUGAAACAGCAGAUAUUCAAGCUCCAACCCAAAUGCACUGAACCAAACACACAUCUCUGUGGGUCGUCGUGUUACAAUCCAAAGCAAAAUCGCUGCUGUGAGAGUAACCACGAGCCUCACUCACUUGACAACUCAGGUCAAAGGAAGGCCACAGCCACCGUGUACAACCCACAUACUCAGGUCUGCUGUGAUGGACGUGUAUCUCCGUGGAAGCCUUGGAUCGAUCAGUGCUGUGGAGAGACGCCGUAUGGCUCGGCACAACGUGGAGCUCUGUCUUGUAAUAAGACCUUGUACGAGGACAGAUAUGAUGGAGAGGAAUGUUCAGAGAUGGGUAUUCCUUACAACCCGGCUAAAGGGACCAUAUGUUGUUCUCAGUUUCAUGGCAGCCCAGGACAACACUGCUGUGGGACAGAAAUUUACCGGCCUCGUACUGAGAUCUGCUGCAAUGGACACAGACAUCUGAAAUCAGAAAACAUUCACUGCUGUGGGGUCAAAGCCUACAACAUUAAAGACCCACAGAUGAAGUGCUGUGCAGGAACACUGUACAAUCUGACAUCAUUAGACAAGCAUGGAGGGGAUGCGCAGUGCUGUGGAUCCAUUCUGCAAAAGCCACAGGACAUUUGCUGCUCAAGUGAGGACAAAGAGGUGCUCUACUCUGCCAAAAUAGGGUUCAGAUGCUGUGGUCACCUUUACUAUAACACCACCCUGUGGUCAUGCUGUGCUGGGGGGCUGAGAAGAAUCCGUGAACCAGGACAGGAUCAGAGAAAGAUGAUUAAUGGAUCCAGACUUCUAUCUGUGAAUAAUCUGAACAAAAUCGAUCUUUGCAAAGAAAUGCACAUUGGGACUGUGGAAAGUGUGUCGCUGCAGAGCAUUGUGUUCAGGAGUGUGCUGAAGGUCCAUGGGAUGGAGGCCAAAGUGAAAGCUCUGCCAUUCCCUUACAUCCUGGAAAGAGAUGAUCGCUGCAGCUCCCCUAAACUGAUUGCUGGGAAGACCUACUACUUUAACAAAGUUAAUGUUUUCAUUGAUUUCAAUCAUGACUCUGUUCUUCAGUCACUCCAUUUCAUUAUUUGCAAAUGUUCAUCUCAGGUCACCACUGGCUGAUGUAUACAUGGUCAGUGUGGAUCUGUUGCUCCCUUCUUUGAACAAGUUCUCUUUUUUCACAUAUUUACUCACAGUGUUGGCUUUGUCACACAGAAAAUUAAUUAAUUACACAUCACAUUAUACUGGUUAACAUUAUUUUACAAAGUAAUUUGUUACCAUAUUUAUUACAGAGUACUUGUUGCAUUGCAACCUAAUAUACUCACCCCAAAUUACUCUCUGAUGCACCCAUCACAGUGUGAAUGUUUGCUUGAACUUAAACACAGAAAGAAGUCGUUGUAUGAAUGUGUGAAUGAGGGACGUUGUAUCAAGCGCUUUGAGUGCUCAGGUAGGGUAGAAAAGUGUUAUAUAGAAGAACCUGUCCAUUUAUCAGUAGUAUACAAUACUUCACAUGAUAUGUUGUUUAUACAUUACUCUGCCUAUGUCCAGCCAAACCAUGUUGCUCUGUUGUUAACACAUCCCAAGAUGUCUUAUCACAGACAGAAUUUAGGUACUUUAAGUAAAGAAAACAAAAAACAAUGUAGCUUUUAACUUCAGUUUUACAGGGACUCACAUUGUAGUGAUUCACACAACUUGACAUUAAUCAAUACUGUAACACAGUAAGCUGGUGCACAAUGUUGUUUCUCAAAUCUAAAUUUGAACAAAAUCUAAAUGUAACUUUGAUUCUUGCACUGAUCUAAAAUACAAGGGACAACUGUGUGCACAUGUCCUUGAACCAUACAAUUCAAUACUUGUGGUAAAGUCCAUGAUUUACUGUGAUUGUUAAUUCUAAUGAAUGAUAAACACUUAAUGCCAAUAUCAUGAAUACAAAUAUGUUAGAAGGACCCACUAAAAAUUCCAUUAGUUUCUGUUUCUUUGAAUGUGAUUCAUGUAAAAUAGUUAAUGGUAAGGAUAGGUAUGGGAAUUUAAGAAUGGUAAGGAAUCUAGUAAGGACUUGAGGGACAUUUAAGCUAUAAGCAAACAUAAACACUGCCUGCUUGAUUUAGUGACUUUGUUGUUAAUAUAAUAUAUUGCAUAUAUAUAUUGUAAAUGUUUAAUAUUUGAAUGGACCUAUUAUCCUUUAAGGAUUCAAAUAAAUAAAUACAAACACUUAUUAAACCUGCUGUGUUUUCUCUUG